rnacentral:rRNA from 1 species
GAUGAACGCUGGCGGCGUGCCUAAUACAUGCAAGUCGAGCGAACAGACGAGGAGCUUGCUCCUCUGACGUUAGCGGCGGACGGGUGAGUAACACGUGGAUAACCUACCUAUAAGACUGGGAUAACUUCGGGAAACCGGAGCUAAUACCGGAUAAUAUAUUGAACCGCAUGGUUCAAUAGUGAAAGACGGUUUUGCUGUCACUUAUAGAUGGAUCCGCGCCGCAUUAGCUAGUUGGUAAGGUAACGGCUUACCAAGGCAACGAUGCGUAGCCGACCUGAGAGGGCGAUCGGCCACACUGGAACUGAGACACGGUCCAGACUCCUACGGGAGGCAGCAGUAGGGAAUCUUCCGCAAUGGGCGAAAGCCUGACGGAGCAACGCCGCGUGAGUGAUGAAGGUCUUCGGAUCGUAAAACUAUGUUAUUAGGGAAGAACAAAUGUGUAAGUAACUAUGCACGUCUUGACGGUACCUAAUCAGAAAGCCACGGCUAACUACGUG